GCUAAGCCCGGGACUGCUGCCGCGGUCGUGAGGAGGUUCGGAGGGUUGUACGGAUUUAGUGGGUUUAGAGGGAGCGUAGAGGGAUGUUUAAGUCAGUUGUGAAAGUUUGCGGCUUAACCGUAAAAGUGCAGUUGUUACUGUAUAUCUUGAGUGCAGUUGAGGCAGGCGGAAUUCGUGGUGUAGCGGUGAAAUGCUUAGAUAUCACGAAGAACUCCGAUUGCGAAGGCAGCCUGCUAAGCUGCAACUGACAUUGAGGCUCGAAAGUGUGGGUAUCAAACAGGAUUAGAUACCCCAGUAGUC
rnacentral:rRNA from 1 species